CAGAGAUAUCCCAGGGAUGGAGCUGCCUUAGAGGAGGGGUUAGUUAUUAAUUCCCUUCCUACGGCCAUCACAGAAAAAAAAAAUCAGGAAGGGAACUAAGUGAAUAGUGUAAAGUGUUGUUUUGAGUUCAGACAAAUAGCUUCUUUGCUCCUGCUAUUGAACACUUAGGGUACGUCUAUACUACCCGGCAGAUCAGCGGGUAGUAAUCGAUCUAUCGGGGAUUGAUUUAUCGCAUCUCGUCUAGAUGCGACAAAUCGAUCCGUGAAUCGACACCUGUACUCCACCUCGGCAGGAGUAGUAAGCAGCGUCGACAGGGGAGCCGCGGCAGUCGACUCGCUACCGUGAGGACGGCCAGCAGUAACACUGAAGAAUCAUGUCUUCCACACCAUGCAUGAGGUUAUGAAGUCAUUCACAAAAGUCGAGCACCCAAAACAAUAUUGCUGCAGAAAUGGUGGAAUCAUGAAUCAGCUUCUUUUUUCUACUCCAGAACCUCCUGGCUGCUGUAAAGAAACCACAGGAAGAAAGUUCAGUAAACUGCUUAGCAUCUCAAACAGUAAACAAGGAUUUCGUCAGAGCACAUCAGACAACCUGACCAAUAUCCCCAGCAAGUCUCUAUAGAAAACUCAUGUUUCUGGCUUCUGCAUAAUUCCUUCAUGUAAUAACCUCAACUUGUUUGCUUAUGCUCUUAUUGGCAUAACCAAUAAGCUGUUUUUUUAAAAAUUGAAUUUAUUUGUGAAAGGUCCUGGAUCAACAGCCCUGAAGACUAGAGGUUUCUGUUUUCCCAUAGCUGGGCAGCAAUAGUGCCAGUUUCUCCACAGUAUUCCAACCACGACUUGGGGGGGACCACACAUCUCCAUACCCAUUCAGUCUUUGCUGUCUCUGAAGAGAUGGCAAACAAGUAUGACAGUUUGGGGUUUGUGUAAUACAUAUACCUGCCAACUAGGAAUUAAACAAAGGCGAAUUUAUUUCACAUAGGCAGGGUCCUGUGUAUUAAACACCUGUGGAAUUUGCCACUGAAAUCAUUCCUUGCUCCAAAUAGUGCUCCAGAGUCUCAAUUUUCAUUUUUUUUUAAUGUUUCUGCCCCAGUGGUUGUGCAGACAACACUGAAAAGAGGAACAGAACAAACUGAUGCAGUGAUGUUUUCAGAGU